rnacentral:rRNA from 1 species
UACGUAGGGGGCAAGCGUUGUCCGGAAUCAUUGGGCGUAAAGAGCGUGUAGGCGGCCUGGUAAGUCCGCUGUGAAAGUCCAGGGCUCAACCCUGGAAUGCCGGUGGAAACUGUCAGGCUCGAGUCCGGAAGAGGCGAGUGGAAUUCCUGGUGUAGCGGUGAAAUGCGCAGAUAUCAGGAGGAACACCAAUGGCGGAGGCAGCUCGCUGGGACGGUACUGACGCUGAGACGCGAAAGCGUGGGGAGCAAACAGG